CCCACGGGGAGUCACCCCCCCUUAGAAAAAUGGGAAAAAUCCCGGGAAAACCGGGGCUUAUAUCCCGGAAUUUUCUUUUGAACCCGCCAGGGUUCAAAACUAAAAAAGGGGGCUUCGGGUAACCAAUUAAAGAGAGGACCCGGGGGCCCUUAGGUUAUUUGGUGAGGUAAUGGCUCCACCAAGGCAACGGAUGGGUAACCCACCUUGAGAGGGUGUUCGGCCCCACUGGGAACUGAGACCCGGUCCCAGAUUUCUUACGGGAGGCAGCAGUAGGGAAUCCUCCGCAAUGGACGAAAGUCUGACGGAGCAACGCCGGCGUGAGUGAUGAAGGUUUUCGGAUCGUAAAGCUCUGUUGUUAGGGAAGAACAAGUACCGUUCGAAUAGGGCGGUACCUUGACGGUACCUAACCAGAAAGCCACGGCUAACUACGUGCCAGCAGCCGCGGUAAUACGUAGGUGGCAAGCGUUGUCCGGAAUUAUUGGGCGUAAAGGGCUCGCAGGCGGUUCCUUAAGUCUGAUGUGAAAGCCCCCGGCUCAACCGGGGAGGGUCAUUGGAAACUGGGGAACUUGAGUGCAGAAGAGGAGAGUGGAAUUCCACGUGUAGCGGUGAAAUGCGUAGAGAUGUGGAGGAACACCAGUGGCGAAGGCGACUCUCUGGUCUGUAACUGACGCUGAGGAGCGAAAGCGUGGGGAGCGAACAGGAUUAGAUACCCUGGUAGUCCACGCCGUAAACGAUGAGUGCUAAGUGUUAGGGGGUUUCCGCCCCUUAGUGCUGCAGCUAACGCAUUAAGCACUCCGCCUGGGGAGUACGGUCGCAAGACUGAAACUCAAAGGAAUUGACGGGGGCCCGCACAAGCGGUGGAGCAUGUGGUUUAAUUCGAAGCAACGCGAAGAACCUUACCAGGUCUUGACAUCCUCUGACAAUCCUAGAGAUAGGACGUCCCCUUCGGGGGCAGAGUGACAGGUGGUGCAUGGUUGUCGUCAGCUCGUGUCGUGAGAUGUUGGGUUAAGUCCCGCAACGAGCGCAACCCUUGAUCUUAGUUGCCAGCAUUCAGUUGGGCACUCUAAGGUGACUGCCGGUGACAAACCGGAGGAAGGUGGGGAUGACGUCAAAUCAUCAUGCCCCUUAUGACCUGGGCUACACACGUGCUACAAUGGACAGAACAAAGGGCAGCGAAACCGCGAGGUUAAGCCAAUCCCACAAAUCUGUUCUCAGUUCGGAUCGCAGUCUGCAACUCGACUGCGUGAAGCUGGAAUCGCUAGUAAUCGCGGAUCAGCAUGCCGCGGUGAAUACGUUCCCGGGCCUUGUACACACCGCCCGUCACACCACGAGAGUUUGUAACACCCGAAGUCGGUGAGGUAACCUUUAUGGAGCCAUCCUUUUUUAAAGGGGACCCCCCGGA
rnacentral:rRNA from 1 species